GCCGCCGUAGCUCAGCAUGGGAGAGCACUCGGCUGAAGACCGAGGUGUCACGCGUUCAAAUCUCGUCGGCGGCA
rnacentral:tRNA from 1 species